rnacentral:rRNA from 1 species
GGGGCAACCUGGUGGCGAGUGGCGAACGGGUGAGUAAUAUAUCGGAACGUACCCUGGAGUGGGGGAUAACGUAGCGAAAGUUACGCUAAUACCGCAUACGAUCUAAGGAUGAAAGUGGGGGAUUCGCAAGAACCUCAUGCUCCUGGAGCGGCCGAUAUCUGAUUAGCUAGUUGGUGAGGUAAAGGCUCACCAAGGCUUCGAUCAGUAGCUGGUCUGAGAGGACGACCAGCCACACUGGAACUGAGACACGGUCCAGACUCCUACGGGAGGCAGCAGUGGGGAAUUUUGGACAAUGGGCGCAAGCCUGAUCCAGCAAUGCCGCGUGAGUGAAGAAGGCCUUCGGGUUGUAAAGCUCUUUUGUCAGGGAAGAAACGGUGAGGGCUAAUAUCUCUUGCUAAUGACGGUACCUGAAGAAUAAGCACCGGCUAACUACGUGCCAGCAGCCGCGGUAAUACGUAGGGUGCAAGCGUUAAUCGGAAUUACUGGGCGUAAAGCGUGCGCAGGCGGUUUUGUAAGUUUGUCGUGAAAGCCCCGGGCUCAACCUGGGAAUUGCGAUGAAGACUGCAAGGCUUGAAUCUGGCAGAGGGGGGUAGAAUUCCACGUGUAGCAGUGAA